AAUCAAGCGUUUAAGGGCGUAUGGCGGAUGCCUAGGCACUGAAAGGCGAUGAAGGACGUGGUAUACUGCGAUAAGUUUCGGGGAGCUGUAUGCAGGCUUUG
rnacentral:rRNA from 1 species